rnacentral:rRNA from 1 species
GACGAACGCUGGCGGCGUGCUUAACACAUGCAAGUCGAACGGAAAGGCCCUGCUUUUGUGGGGUGCUCGAGUUGCGAACGGGUGAGUAACACGUGAGUAACCUGCCCUUGACUGUGGGAUAACUUAAGGAAACUGGGGCUAAUACCGGAUAGGAGCUCUUGCUGCAUGGUGGGGGUUGGAAAGAUUCGGCGGUUGGGGAUGUACUCGCGGCUUAUCAGCAUGUUGGAGGGGUAGUGGCUUACGAUGGCUUGGACGGGUAGCCGGCCUGAGCGGGUGACCGGCAACAUCGGGACUGAGAUACGGCCCAGACUCCGACGGGAGGCAGCAGUGGGGAAUAGGGCAAUAGGGGCGGAAGCGUGAUGCAGCAACGCCGCGGGCGGGAUGAUGGUCAUCGGGUUGUAAACCGAUUUCGCCUGUGACGAAGCGGGAGUGACGGUAACGGGUAAAGAAGCACCGGCUAACUACGUG